UACGUAGGGGGCAAGCGUUGUCCGGAAUUAUUGGGCGUAAAGAGCGCGUAGGCGGUCCGAUAAGUCGGCUGUGAAAGUCAGGGGCUCAACCCUUGGAAGCCGGCCGAUACUGUCGGACUAGAGUCCGGAAGAGGCGAGUGGAAUUCCCGGUGUAGCGGUGAAAUGCGCAGAUAUCGGGAGGAACACCAAUAGCGAAGGCAGCUCGCUGGGACGGUACUGACGCUGAGGAGCGAAAGCGUGGGGAGCGAACAGG
rnacentral:rRNA from 1 species